ACGAGCGGCGGACGGGUGAGUAACACGGAGGCAACCUGCCUGUAAGACUGGGAUAACUCGCGGAAACGCGAGCUAAUACCGGAUAACACUUUCUAUCACCUGAUGGAAAGUUGAAAGGCGGCUUUUGCUGUCACUUACAGAUGGGCCUGCGGCGCAUUAACUAGUUGGUGAGGUAACGGCUCACCAAGGCAACGAUGCGUAGCCGACCUGAGAGGGUGAUCGGCCACACUGGGACUGACACACGGCCCAGACUCCUACGGGAGGCAGCAGUAGGGAAUCUUCCGCAAUGGACGAAAGUCUGACGGAGCAACGCCGCGUGAGUGAUGAAGGUUUUCGGAUCGUAAAACUCUGUUGUCGGGGAAGAACAAGUAUGAUAGUAACUGAUCGUACCUUGACGGUACCUGACCAGAAAGCCACGGCUAACUACGUGCCAGCAGCCGCGGUAAUACGUAGGUGGCAAGCGUUGUCCGGAAUUAUUGGGCGUAAAGCGCUCGCAGGCGGUUCUUUAAGUCUGAUGUGAAAUCUUGCGGCUCAACCGCAAACGUGCAUUGGAAACUGGAGGACUUGAGUGCAGAAGAGGAGAGUGGAAUUCCACGUGUAGCGGUGAAAUGCGUAGAGAUGUGGAGGAACACCAGUGGCGAAGGCGACUCUCUGGUCUGUAACUGACGCUGAGGAGCGAAAGCGUGUGGAGCGAACAGGAUUAAGAUACCCUUGGUAGUCCACGCCGUAAACGAUGAGUGCUAGGUGUUAUGGGGGUUUCCGCCCCUUAGUGCUGAA
rnacentral:rRNA from 1 species